GAGGCUCUGCGAGGCUUGAAGUUUGAGGUCAUUUCAGAAGAGCUGAUAGACUUCCACAGCCUAGAACAAGAAGAGGAUCGUUUGUUUGACAGAGGCAAACAUGAGGAUAAAGUAGAAUGAAGCAAGACCCACUAGGUAGCUGCAGGAAACUCAGCAGGUGUCACCAUAGCUAAGAGACAUCUCUGCUGACAAGCUUGAAUAAUGAACUGCACCUUCAAAUCACGGGCCAGGAUAAGCCCUUACCUCCUUGCUUCUUGUCAGAUAUUUGGUUACAGCCACAAGGAAAGUGUGGGUUCCUUCAUACUGUCGGUGGCAGGAUGUUUGCUCAGUUCUGAGGUCAUCGACUUGCCCCUGGUAACAUGAAUACAAAUGCUUGAAUCACCUGUAUUUGAAAACCCCAGCUUAAUGCAGGUCAAACUGCUCCUCAGUGUGAUGAGGCCUGCAAGAUUAACAGAAAGGGGUCACGUGUUGAUGGAUGCCUUAUGAGAAACAUCUUAUGGAAAUUAAACCGCAAGAAAGCUU